rnacentral:rRNA from 1 species
GACGAACGCUGGCGGCGUGCUUAACACAUGCAAGUCGAACGGAAAGGCCCUGCUUUUGUGGGGUGCUCGAGUGGCGAACGGGUGAGUAACACGUGAGUAACCUACCCUUGACUUUGGGAUAACUUCAGGAAACUGGGGCUAAUACCGGAUAGGAGCUCCUGCUGCAUGGUGGGGGUUGGAAAGUUUCGGCGGUUGGGGAUGGACUCGCGGCUUAUCAGCUUGUUGGUGGGGUAGUGGCUUACCAAGGCUUUGACGGGUAGCCGGCCUGAGAGGGUGACCGGCCACAUUGGGACUGAGAUACGGCCCAGACUCCUACGGGAGGCAGCAGUGGGGAAUAUUGCACAAUGGGCGGAAGCCUGAUGCAGCAACGCCGCGUGCGGGAUGACGGUCUUCGGGUUGUAAACCGCUUUCGCCUGUGACGAAGCGUGAGUGACGGUAAUGGGUAAAGAAGCACCGGCUAACUACGUGCCAGCAGCCGCGGUGAUACGUAGGGUGCGAGCGUUGUCCGGAUUUAUUGGGCGUAAAGGGCUCGUAGGUGGUUGAUCGCGUCGGAAGUGUAAUCUUGGGGCUUAACCCUGAGCGUGCUUUCGAUACGGGUUGACUUGAGGAAGGUAGGGGAGAAUGGAAUUCCUGGUGGAGCGGUGGAAUGCGCAGAUAUCAGGAGGAACACCAGUGGCGAAGGCGGUUCUCUGGGCCUUUCCUGACGCUGAGGAGCGAAAGCGUGGGGAGCGAACAGGCUUAGAUACCCUGGUAGUCCACGCUGUAAACGGUGGGUACUAGGUGUGGGGUCCAUUCCACGGGUUCCGUGCCGUAGCUAACGCUUUAAGUACCCCGCCUGGGGAGUACGGCCGCAAGGCUAAAACUCAAAGGAAUUGACGGGGCCCCGCACAAGCGGCGGAGCAUGCGGAUUAAUUCGAUGCAACGCGUAGAACCUUACCUGGGUUUGACAUGGAUCGGGAGCGCUCAGAGAUGGGUGUGCCUCUUUUGGGGUCGGUUCACAGGUGGUGCAUGGCUGUCGUCAGCUCGUGUCGUGAGAUGUUGGGUUAAGUCCCGCAACGAGCGCAACCCUUGUUCACUGUUGCCAGCACGUUAUGGUGGGGACUCAGUGGAGACCGCCGGGGUCAACUCGGAGGAAGGUGGGGAUGACGUCAAGUCAUCAUGCCCCUUAUGUCCAGGGCUUCACGCAUGCUACAAUGGCUGGUACAGAGAGUGGCGAGCCUGUGAGGGUGAGCGAAUCUCGGAAAGCCGGUCUCAGUUCGGAUUGGGGUCUGCAACUCGACCUCAUGAAGUCGGAGUCGCUAGUAAUCGCAGAUCAGCAACGCUGCGGUGAAUACGUUCCCGGG